UACGUAGGGUGCAAGCGUUUGUCCGGAAUUAUUGGGCGUAAAGAGCUCGUAGGCGGUCUGUCGCGUCUGCUGUGAAAACUCAGGGCUUAACCCUGAGCCUGCUUCCGAUACGGGCAGACUAGAGGUAUGCAGGGGGAGAACGGAAUUCCUGGUGUAGCGGUGAAAUGCGGCAGAUAUCAGGAGGAACACCGGUGGCGAAGGCGG
rnacentral:rRNA from 1 species